rnacentral:rRNA from 1 species
CAGCCGCCGCGGUAAUACCGGCGGCCCGAGUGGCGGUCACUAUUAUUGGGCUUAAAGCGUCCGUAGCCGGGUUGGGAAGGCCUCCGGGAAAUCUGGCCGCUUAACGGUCAGAAUGCCGGAGGAUACUCCCAGCCUAGGGAGCGGGAGAGGCCGAGGGUAUUCCCGGAGUAGGGGUGAAAUCCUAUAAUCCCGGGAGGACCACCUGUGGCGAAGGCGCUCGGCUGGAACGCGUCCGACGGUGAGGGACGAAGGCCAGGGGAGCAAACCGGAUUAGAUACCCGGGUAGUCCUGGCUGUAAACGAUGCGGACUUUGUGUCGGACAAGCUAUGAGCUUGUCCGGUGCCGGAGGGAAACCGUUAAGUCCGCCGCCUGGGGAGUACGGCCGCAAGGCUGAAACUUAAAGGAAUUGGCGGG